UACGAAGGGGGCUAGCGUUGCUCGGAAUCAUUGGGCGUAAAGGGUGCGUAGACGGGUCUUUAAGUCAGGGGUGAAAUCCUGGAGCUCAACUCCAGAACUGCCUUUGAUACUGAAGAUCUUGAGUUCGGGAGAGGUGAGUGGAACUGCGAGUGUAGAGGUGAAAUUCGUAGAUAUUCGCAAGAACACCAGUGGCGAAGGCGGCUCACUGGCCCGAUACUGACGCUGAGGCACGAAAGCGUGGGGAGCAAACAGG
rnacentral:rRNA from 1 species